rnacentral:lncRNA from 1 species
AUGCAAGGAGCCAGGCUAAGCAUAAGACCUCUGAGCAGGAGAGGUCAACUAAAAGAGAAGUUACUCAGCGUUACUGACUCAACCUGGUGGUCUAAAGACUCUCAAACACUGGACGCGAAACUGAAGCAAAACAAACAAGCAAAGGAGAAAAAGACACUGAAGAAAGACAAUGCGAGAAGGCAAGCUAAGCAGACCCCUACCAUGACCAGGAGAGGCCAACUAAAAGAGAAGGCUCUUGACACUGAGAAAUUAGAAAGACUGGGGGAUCCCCCAAUGGAUCAGUUUGAUGCCUCUUCACGCAAAUGGUUCCCUGAUAAAAACAGAGACUGUUGCAGGAUCGUUGCUGACAGGGAUCCAUCCACUGAUAAAAGGCAACUUCUUUCAUACAACAAGAAGAAGUUAGAAGAGAAAGUGUUGAAGGAGGCCAGAUCAAAGAGAAAUCAGAAGUCUGCAGGAACAAAGAUGCACAUAAAGGACUCGAUCAGGAUCGCCAUUACCAUUUUACUAUUAGCAUGUUCUCUGUUUCUUCUCCCUCUAUUCCCCUGGAGUGAUGGCCAGACAAACCAGCGCCAACCGACAGGGAUCUACCGCUGA